ACUACAAACCGUGCUAUCGUCUUGGCCCCGUGCCAGGAAGGAAAGUCCGGACAGCAUAGAGCAACGCACCACCUAACGGGUGGGAUGUGCGGGUGCAAGGCCCGCGCAGACAGAAAGUGCCACAGAAAAUAACCGCCGGCCCCCGGGCAGGUAAGGGUGAAAAUGUGGGGUAAGGGCCCACGUCGCGGUGUGGUAACACGCCGGGAGGGUAAACCUUGCGUGCUGAAAUGCCAUGUAUACGGUCGUUUGAGGGCUGCUCGCCCGAUGACCGAGGGUAGGCAGAUACAGGCGGCGUGCGAGCGCCGUCGCAGAUAAAUGAUAGCAGCCCGCCCCCGGGCGGGAACAGAAUCCGGCUUACAGGUUUGUAGUUUUU
rnacentral:RNase_P_RNA from 1 species